UACGUAGGGUGCAAGCGUUGUCCGGAAUUAUUGGGCGUAAAGAGCUCGUAGGCGGUCUGUCACGUCGGCUGUGAAAACCCGAGGCUCAACCUCGGGCCUGCAGUCGAUACGGGCAGACUAGAGUUCGGUAGGGGAGACUGGAAUUCCUGGUGUAGCGGUGAAAUGCGCAGAUAUCAGGAGGAACACCGGUGGCGAAGGCGGGUCUCUGGGCCGAAACUGGACGCUGAGGAGCGAAAGCGUGGGGAGCAAACAGG
rnacentral:rRNA from 1 species